AUUGAACGCUGGCGGCAGGCCUAACACAUGCAAGUCGAACGAGGGGCGGACGGGUGUGUAAUGUCUGGGAAACUGCUUGAUGGCGGGGGAUAAUUACUGGAAACGGUAGCUAAUCCCGCAUACCAUCCGGUGUGACCAGAUGGGAUGAGCUAGUAGGUGGGGUAACGGCUCACCUAGGCGACGAUCCCUAGCUGGUCUGAGAGGAUGACCAGCCACACUGGAACUGUGAACCGGUCCAGACUCCGACGGGAGGCAGCAGUGGGGAAUAUUGCACAAUGGGCGCAAGCCUGAUGCAGCCAUGCCGCGUGUAUGAAGAAGGCCUUCGGGUUGUAAAGUACUUUCAGCGGGGAGGCGUUACCCGAAGAAGAAGCACCGGCUAACUCCGUGCCAGCAGCCGCGGUAAUUC
rnacentral:rRNA from 1 species